rnacentral:rRNA from 1 species
AGUCGAACGGUGAAGCCAAGCUUGCUUGGUGGAUCAGUGGCGAACGGGUGAGUAACACGUGAGCAACCUGCCCUGGACUCUGGGAUAAGCGCUGGAAACGGCGUCUAAUACUGGAUAUGAGCUCUCAUCGCAUGGUGGGGGUUGGAAAGAUUUUUCGGUCUGGGAUGGGCUCGCGGCCUAUCAGCUUGUUGGUGAGGUAAUGGCUCACCAAGGCGUCGACGGGUAGCCGGCCUGAGAGGGUGACCGGCCACACUGGGACUGAGACACGGCCCAGACUCCUACGGGAGGCAGCAGUGGGGAAUAUUGCACAAUGGGCGGAAGCCUGAUGCAGCAACGCCGCGUGAGGGAUGACGGCCUUCGGGUUGUAAACCUCUUUUAGCAGGGAAGAAGCGAGAGUGACGGUACCUGCAGAAAAAGCGCCGGCUAACUACGUGCCAGCAGCCGCGGUAAUACGUAGGGCGCAAGCGUUAUCCGGAAUUAUUGGGCGUAAAGAGCUCGUAGGCGGUUUGUCGCGUCUGCUGUGAAAUCCCGAGGCUCAACCUCGGGCCUGCAGUGGGUACGGGCAGACUAGAGUGCGGUAGGGGAGAUUGGAAUUCCUGGUGUAGCGGUGGAAUGCGCAGAUAUCAGGAGGAACACCGAUGGCGAAGGCAGAUCUCUGGGCCGUAACUGACGCUGAGGAGCGAAAGGGUGGGGAGCAAACAGGCUUAGAUACCCUGGUAGUCCACCCCGUAAACGUUGGGAACUAGUUGUGGGGACCAUUCCACGGUUUCCGUGACGCAGCUAACGCAUUAAGUUCCCCGCCUGGGGAGUACGGCCGCAAGGCUAAAACUCAAAGGAAUUGACGGGGACCCGCACAAGCGGCGGAGCAUGCGGAUUAAUUCGAUGCAACGCGAAGAACCUUACCAAGGCUUGACAUAUACGAGAACGGGCCAGAAAUGGUCAACUCUUUGGACACUCGUAAACAGGUGGUGCAUGGUUGUCGUCAGCUCGUGUCGUGAGAUGUUGGGUUAAGUCCCGCAACGAGCGCAACCCUCGUUCUAUGUUGCCAGCACGUAAUGGUGGGAACUCAUGGGAUACUGCCGGGGUCAACUCGGAGGAAGGUGGGGAUGACGUCAAAUCAUCAUGCCCCUUAUGUCUUGGGCUUCACGCAUGCUACAAUGGCCGGUACAAAGGGCUGCAAUACCGUGAGGUGGAGCGAAUCCCAAAAAGCCGGUCCCAGUUCGGAUUGAGGUCUGCAACUCGACCUCAUGAAGUCGGAGUCGCUAGUAAUCGCAGAUCAGCAACGCUGCGGUGAAUACGUUCCCGGGUCUUGUACACACCGCCCGUCAAGUCAUGAAAGUCGGUAACACCUGAAGCCGGUGGCCCAACCCUUGUGGAGGGAGCC